GAGUUUGAUCCUGGCUCAGAUUGAACGCUGGCGGCAGGCCUAACACAUGCAAGUCGGGCGGUAGAGAGAAGCUUGCUUCUCUUGAGAGCGGCGGACGGGUGAGUAAUGCCUAGGAAUCUGCCUGGUAGUGGGGGAUAACGCUCGGAAACGGACGCUAAUACCGCAUACGUCCUACGGGAGAAAGCAGGGGACCUUCGGGCCUUGCGCUAUCAGAUGAGCCUAGGUCGGAUUAGCUAGUUGGUGAGGUAAUGGCUCACCAAGGCGACGAUCCGUAACUGGUCUGAGAGGAUGAUCAGUCACACUGGAACUGAGACACGGUCCAGACUCCUACGGGAGGCAGCAGUGGGGAAUAUUGGACAAUGGGCGAAAGCCUGAUCCAGCCAUGCCGCGUGUGUGAAGAAGGUCUUCGGAUUGUAAAGCACUUUAAGUUGGGAGGAAGGGCAGUAAAUUAAUACUUUGCUGUUUUGACGUUACCGACAGAAUAAGCACCGGCUAACUCUGUGCCAGCCGCCGACCG
rnacentral:rRNA from 1 species